rnacentral:rRNA from 2 species
GGUUAAGCUACUAAGGGCACACGGUGGAUGCCUUGGCGCCAGGAGCCGAUGAAGGACGGGGCGAACACCGAUAUGCCUCGGGGAGCCGUAAGCAGGCGUUGAUCCGGGGAUUUCCGAAUGGGGCAACCCACCAGCUUGAAGAGCUGGUACCGCCAUCUGAAUCCAUAGGAUGGACGGGGGCAGACCAGGGGAACUGAAACAUCUUAGUACCCUGAGGAGAAGAAAGCAAACGCGAUUCCCUGAGUAGCGGCGAGCGAAAGGGGAACAGCCCAAACCG